rfam:Listeriaceae bacterium FSL A5-0281 contig000003, whole genome shotgun sequence.
CGAACACGGAAGUUAAGCUUUUCAGCGCCGAUGGUAGUAGGGGGCUUCCCCCUGUGAGAGUAGGUCGUCGCCGGGC